AGCGAACGCUGGCGGCAGGCCUAACACAUGCAAGUCGAACGGAUCCUUCGGGAUUAGUGGCGGACGGGUGAGCAACACGUGGGAACGUGCCCUUUGGUUCGGAACAACUCGGGGAAACUUGAGCUAAUACCGGAUGUGCCCUUCGGGGGAAAGAUUUAUAGCCAUUGGAGCGGCCCGCGUCUGAGUAGAUAGUUGGUGAGGUAACGGCCCACCAAGGGGACGAGCAGUAGCUGGUCUGAGAGGAUGAUCAGACACAAUGGGACUGAGACACGGCCCAGACUACUACGGGAGGCAGCAGUGGGGAAUCUUGCGCAAUGGGCGAAAGCCUGACGCAGCCAUGCCGCGUGAAUGAUGAAGGUCGUAGGAGUGUAAAAUUCUUUCAGCGGGGACGAUAAUGACGGUACCCGCAGAAGAAGCUCCGGCUAACUUCG
rnacentral:rRNA from 1 species